UACGUAGGGGGCAAGCGUUGUCCGGAUUUAUUGGGCGUAAAGAGCUCGUAGGCGGUUCCGUAAGUCGUGAAGUCAAAUCUCUGGGCUCAACCCAGAAUCGCUUCCGAUACUGCGGUGACUGGAGUCCGGUAGGGGAGUGUGGAAUUCCUGGUGUAGCGGUGAAAUGCGCAGAUAUCAGGAGGAACACCAACAGCGAAGGCAGCACUCUGGGCCGGUACUGACGCUGAGGAGCGAAAGCAUGGGGAGCGAA
rnacentral:rRNA from 1 species